AUGUGUACAUGGUACGGGUGCUGUAGGUUUGGUUUUUGGUGCCACAGUUCACUUUAAAUUCUAAAAAAUGAUUUUAACAGCUGUUCCUGAUCAAGCCAUUGACGAAAUGAACACCAGUGUCAUGUGGCUCUGUAACCUGGUGACCUACCAUCGGCUAUAAUUAUUAUCAUGUAUUUAUAAUUUUUGCAUCAAAAUUUGGUUGGUUGGUAUACAUGACAUGAGUAACAUAAUGUCAACUUCCCAUUACACUAAGGGCUCUGUAUGUUCUUCUGAGAAACAGUAGAUGUAGUGUUUGGUGCUUUUCUAAAGAUGUACAAGAAAGAGUCUGCUGUAUCUAAUUGGAACAGUUUACAGUUGCAGUAUCGCUAAACUGCACUAGACUAAUGCUGCUGACCACAACCCUAACCCUUAUAGGCAGAAUGCUGCACUAUAAUGCUAUGCCUAAUACACUUGAAUGUGUAGCAGUGUAACACUAUAAAGGUACCGAGUGCUGUCAUAGUGAUGUCACAUCCUGUGCUCCAUCAUUAAAGCUUUCAUGGUUUGCUUCUGCAUUUAUGGCACGCCUUGUCUAGCCAGAGAACUAACAUGAUUAUACUAAUUAUCAUCAAACUGAUAAUUCUGCAACAUAUUUCAGAAUCUAGUGAUGUUACACAGACAUCAACAUUAUGGGUUUCACAGGGUGAAUCUGCAAGAAUGGAGUGCAAUCAUACUAAAGGUGGAUUCUAUAGGUAUAUGUACUGGUUUCGACAGCGGCAGAGAGAAACAAUGAGACUCAUUGCCUUCACAAUGCCAGAUGUCAAGCCAGACUUUGGUGAAUAUUCUGAUGAUAAAUACUCGGCUGAAAAGACUGUAGCUGAGAGUGGAUCUUUCACAGUGAAUAAGCUGCAGCCUGACGACAGUGGUGUGUAUUUCUGUGCAGUGAGUGAACACAGUGACACAGACUGACUGAACUGCUGUACAAAAACCCAAACUUCCUUAACAUCCUUAAUUAAUUUUGUUGCAUAAAACUAAUUUUUUUUUUUUUUAUCUAAAGUGGUGGGCAGUCAAGCAGCCAUAUUUAAGAGUCUUUCUCAAGGGCACAAUAUGCUUAUACUCUAAGUAUUACCUCCUGUAUGGUGAGGGAGUUCAAUCUAUAAGGUUCCAAAUAAGAUCUUUUUCCACUAGGCUAAACCACCCAACUUUACAUCUAUUCACACAUUUAAACUCUCAAAACUCUCUAACUGAACUAUUCAUGAUGAUUUCUUUAUUUUAUUUAUUUUUGUAUCACUAAGAUUGCUUGCCACUAUCUAUAAGAUAUGGACAUUUAAACUGAAUUUACAGUAAAUAUUGUAUGUUUCUUGGCAAAAGACGAAAGACGAUUAAUCUGUCAUUAAAUAAUAUUAUAAAGAAAGAGUGAUGCCAUUGUGAUGUCACUUCCUGUGCCUCACCAUUAAAGUGCCCAUUACUUUCUUUCUGUAUUUGAGAUUUCUAUUCUAUUCUAUUCUAUUCUUGUCACAGUGUCUGUUCUGUGUCUCCCUGGGUGGCCACUAGAGGUCUCACUUCCCCUGAUUGUCACCCCCUUCUGAACUACAUUUCCCACUAGCCUUAUCUGUUCAUCACUGUUCAUUGUGUUCAGCUGUCACCACUUACCUUGUUUGCACCUGUCUGUAAAUACCCUGGUUGUUUCUGUCAUUGUUACGGAGUCCUUGUUGAAUGUCACCCUGCGUUUUCCUGGUUCCCUGGUGGAUGUUCGUGGUUCAUGUUUUGGACUGUUUAUGUUUGGUUUCUCCCCCUGCCUGGACUGUUUAUGAUUUUGGAUUGCCCUAAUAAAACAUACUGCAUUUGGAUCUACCUGUCUGUGUGCGUUACGUGACAGAAGGACUCCG
ensembl:lncRNA